CCAGCUGCUACCACAAUCCUUAUUUUCUUGCCCACUACGAAACCACGGUGACGUUCGAGAGCUUGCAUUGUCCGUGGUCUUCUUCUCACCUCUGAGCUUGGAGCUGUGGCGUCGCCGUACCCAUUAUUCUUGGGCUUUCUUCGUCAUCGUCGGAAGGAAGAAGACGUCCCUGUCCCGUUCUCUCUGCGCAAACCCCGGUCGUUCCUCUCUCGCCGUUAAUAGCAAUCCUCCAACUGCAGAUUCGGAUAAUACCAGUUUUUCUCUCAAGAUCUCAGAUUCGGAUUUGAUGCUUUUGCGGCUGUAACAGCUAAACCAUUGAAACUGAAAAGCCAGUGUGUGAUCAUUCUCUCUCUCGUUCUCUUUCAAUGGCAUUGGAGAAUCGUCCUUUGAUCAUAAAGCUUAAAAUUUCUUCCAAACGAAAGCUUGACGUAAAUGAAAGCGUCGAGAAAGAAGUUUCAGUGCAGAAAGAACCAGUUACUCCUGUUCAAGAGGUCUCAACUCAGUUUCACAAAGAAAUAUCCUGCGAUGGUGCUACUGAAGUAAUAUCGAUCAAUG